GAUGAACGCUGGCGGCGUGCCUAAUACAUGCAAGUCGAGCGAAAGGACGAGGAGCUUGCUUCUCUGAUGUUAGCGGCGGACGGGUGAGUAACACGUGGAUCACGUACCUGUAAGACUGGGAUAACUUCGGGAAACCGGAGCUUAUACCGGAUGAUAUUUUGAACCGCAUGGGUGAAAAGAGAAAGACGGUCUUGCUGUCACGUCUAGAUGGAUCCGCGCUGCAUGAGCUAGUUGGUGAGGUCACGGCUUACUAAGGCAACGAUGCAUAGCCGACGUGAGAGGGUGGUAGGCCACCCUGGAACUGAGACACGGACCAGACUCCUAAGGGAGGGAGCAGUAGGGAAUCUUACGCAAUGGGCGAGAGCCUGACAGAGCAACGCGGCGUGAGUGAUGAAGGUGUUCGGAUCGUAAAGCUCUGUUAUGAGGGAAGAACAUAUGUGUAAGUAACCGUGCACAUAUUGACGGUACCUAAUCAAAAAGCCCCGGCUAACUACGUG
rnacentral:rRNA from 1 species